rnacentral:misc_RNA from 1 species
AAGUCGGAACAAGGUUUCCGUAGGUGAACCUGCGGAAGGAUCAUUAACACGUGAACCUUCAUCCUGCUCUUGAAACCCGCGUAGUUCGCAAUCUCUGAUAAAUCAUAGCCCGGAAAGUUGUAGUGAUUCAGAGACCUCUGGCUACGUGCGAACAUUGAACAGUUACAAUCGAGCGGUAGUUCUAUAGGCAAUACAUUGGUAAAAAAACCGAACGACUGUUAACAAUGGAUAUCUUGGUUCUC